UCCCUAAUUAAUAGCUGCCCCAGGACUUGGAAGGCCACACUACUCUCCAUGACAUCAAAGAUACGGCCCAAAUAAUCUGUAUCCUCGAUAUGAACUUAGGACCACAUAUUUGGAGCUUGUCCAAAAUACUAAAAUGGCAGAUAACAAUUAGAUGGUUCCAAUUCAAAUACAUUACAAGCUACGAAAACUAAUAUUCUAUAAUUUAUACUAAGUUCAUGGAAAGAAUUGCAAUGGAUUGAGGUUUCUAACGAGGUUAUCACUACCGCAAAUAUAGAGAGUAAGUUGGUAAUAUACAACAAUAGAAUUUAAUCAAUAACCAAUCUCAACAUUAUUGUAUCGUAUUUUAACUUAUAAUUGUGCUCAUAUCAAGUUUUCUAGGUUACAAUUACGACCAAUUCUCAGGUUGUUUUGCAAAAUUGGCGAAGAGAUGGAGGCCUACCACAUAUUAUCACGAUUUGAUAGGGAUAAUCUGAGUAACGAUUAGUUAUUGACGAAUCCCUUUAAUAUAGUUUCCACACGAGAAUAGGCGCCUACUAAAGAAUUGAUGAAUCUGCUGGUAAUUUCUAGGUUUCCAUUAUUCGGUAAAAUAUACGGAAUGUAUUAGGGGUUCUUCAUGACGAUCAAAGAUCCAUGAAUGGAGAUCGGUAUUUUUAAGUAAUAGUGCUACUAUUUUUUUCCUUUUUGCAUUCUGUCGUUCAAUAUCCUGUUACAUUAUUAAUCUUAGUUUCGGAUUCCACUGAAAUCAAUAACUAUAUCCCAUGGCUUGGGCCUUAAUUCUUGUGUCAUAUACAAUAAUAUGCUAGUGCCGUGAACACUAGCCAAUGAAGAAAUGAUCGUUUUCCAACACAUACCGGACGUGGCUCUGAUAGUGCUCGACGAUGGAAAUUUCAGCAUGCAUACUGAUGUAUGUCAAGAUAACAACUACAGUCCUAUCGUCGUGAUUAUAGGGAAUCGACCGCGCCACUGCUAUGACAACGGAAAGUUUAUCCAUGGCCUGCUGAUUUUGAUGCUGCUGUGGACACGAGAAUACCAACACCUGUUCACAUCUUCAUGUGGAUGAACGUAACGAAGUGGAUAUUUAGGCUCGGUAGCGAAUCUUUUGCCGUACCUCCAAAUUUAUCUUGUAUCGAUUUUUCCGUCUAGUUGAAACUGUUAUUAUCCGCCCCUCCAAUUUUCUGUAAAGCAUAGGUGCUUCUUCAAAGUAUCCAAUGUAUUUCUUAAGCUUAUCAAGAAAUAACAUACUUCGAAUACGUCCCAAGUUUUCUGAUAACUUUAUCAUAUUCUUUUGGCUAAUUGGCGAUCGUUUAUAUACC